rnacentral:misc_RNA from 1 species
GUGGGAGCAAGGCUUGCCCGCGAUGCAGGCACCUCGGUGUAGCUGAUGGAUCGAGGCGAUGCCAUCGCGGGCAAGCCUUGCUCCCAC